GAAACGCUGUGAAAAGGAGAGUCCUCAGUCCAGGCUUGGGGUCUGUAACUUUAUUUUACACUGAUAAAGUCGAUAACUUUUGCGCAAAUCUGAGAAUCCUGUUACCAGUGAACAUGUCCUAAAGUUUUUGUACAACGAGGAAAUUCUGCAUGUCCAUCCAGGCGUAGAUGAAAAGAAAGUUGUACAAAGUCACUGUAGGUACAUGUAGUCAACUCUAGUUACGCAGUAUCUGCUUGUACUGUGAAUGCCCAUUGGAUAACUUCAUAUGACAUCAUUUUGAAACAACCUCUGCACCUCUGUUGUAUGGAUAUAAAUGCAUGCUGUGUAUGUAAAACAUAUGUAAAGUGUUGGUGGCUUAAAAAUCUGAAGACAUCAAUGAGAAGGAACACAAAAACCAUGGUGCAUAAGUUAUGUCCAACAAGUCCUUUAAAAUACAGCUAUGGAUUGGAUUCAGC